AGGGAGACAAAACAAUGAUUUUGAUGUCUGAGUAAUUUAUUCUUAGGCCGAAAUCCUGUCACCUUAGGUCGAUCGGUACCUCAACAUUUUUUCAAAGAAUGAUGAGCAAUCAUCAAGAGAUUGAAAGAGAUGUUCAGUUCCUAAACUUUGUCUAGGUCACACCCCGCAAGGGAAGAGUCCCCUGGGCCAUUAGCUCAGGUGGUUAGAGCGCACCCCUGAUAAGGGUGAGGUCCCUGGUUCAAGUCCAGGAUGGCCCAUUCGGUGUUGGGGGUUUAGCUCAGUUGGUAGAGCGCCUGCUUUGCAAGCAGGAUGUCAGGAGUUCGAGUCUCCUAACCUCCACUGACCGAACUCAAUCUCCAUUGUCCGGUUACCCGGAGGAUGAACUCGAGGGAAUGUGAUUUAGAUGUGUCCACUAGAUUGGACCCCAGCUUCCUGUCAUGCCAGAUAAGCAAUUUUUGCUUGAUUGGUUGAUAAGAUGCUGGGCUCAGAUUAAUCGAAAGAUUAAUUUGAUGUCUAGUAGAACCUUGACAACUGCAUAAGUAAGUCUGGAAAAACGAAGCAUCUUACAGAUGCAUUGUUUUAAGUCUGAAUUCUCGAAAGAGAGUUUAGAUCUAGAAUGAUGGAAAUUCUUUUGAGCAAGAGCCGAGACUCUUAGAUGUUCUUUGAUUCGUGUCGAGCGAAUCAGAGUUUGAUUUUGUUUUUAUGAGCAACGAAAGUUGUUGAUGAAACCAGAAGAAUCUGCUUUCAACCGCAGUAAGCGUUUAAGAGGUUAAUU
rnacentral:tRNA from 1 species